rnacentral:rRNA from 1 species
UACGUAGGGUGCGAGCGUUAAUCGGAAUUACUGGGCGUAAAGCGUGCGCAGGCGGUUUUGUAAGACAGGCGUGAAAUCCCCGGGCUCAACCUGGGAAUUGCGCUUGUGACUGCAAAGCUGGAGUGCGGCAGAGGGGGAUGGAAUUCCGCGUGUAGCAGUGAAAUGCGUAGAUAUGCGGAGGAACACCGAUGGCGAAGGCAAUCCCCUGGGCCUGCACUGACGCUCAUGCAAGAAAGCGUGGGGAGCAAACAGG